rnacentral:rRNA from 1 species
GUAGGGAAUAUUGGGCAAUGGAUGCAAGUCUGACCCAGCCAUCCCGCGUGCCGGAAGAAGGCCCUCAGGGUUGUAAACGGCUUUUGACGGUGAAGAAUCGACAGGAUGCGUCCUGUUUUGACGGUAGCAGUUGAAUAAGCACCGGCUAACUCCGUGCCAGCAGCCGCGGUAAUACGGAGGGUGCGAGCGUUGUCCGGAUUUAUUGGGUUUAAAGGGUGCGUAGGCUGGAAGGUCAGUCAGCGGUGAAAAGCUGUCGCUUAACGAUAGUCUUGCCGCAGAUACUUCCUUUCUUGGAUGAGGAGGAGGCCACUGGAACGGAUGGUGUAGCGGUGAAAUGCAUAGAUAUCAUCCAGAACACCGAUUGCGAAGGCAGGUGGCUGUACCUUAAUCGACGCUGAUGCACGAAAGCAUGGGGAGCAAACAGGAUUAGAAACCCUUGUAGUCC